rnacentral:rRNA from 1 species
GAUGAACGCUGGCGGCGUGCCUAAUACAUGCAAGUCGAGCGAACAGACGAGGAGCUUGCUCCUCUGACGUUAGCGGCGGACGGGUGAGUAACACGUGGAUAACCUACCUAUAAGACUGGGAUAACUUCGGGAAACCGGAGCUAAUACCGGAUAAUAUAUUGAACCGCAUGGUUCAAUAGUGAAAGACGGUUUUGCUGUCACUUAUAGAUGGAUCCGCGCCGCAUUAGCUAGUUGGUAAGGUAACGGCUUACCAAGGCAACGAUGCGUAGCCGACCUGAGAGGGGGGUCCGCCCACCUGGGAAGAGACACCGGCCCCACCCCCCCGGGGGAGGCGGCGUGAGGAAUUCUCCCGAAAGGGGGCAAGCCCGAGCGGACAACCCCGGGUGGAGGAUGAAGGGUUUCGGGUCCUAAAACCUUUUUUAUGGGGGAAAAAAAAAUUUGUAAGUAACUAUGCACUUCUGGACGGUCCCUAAUAAGAAACCCACGCCUACCCCCGCC